GUGGAGAAUGUCAUGUUGACAAAAUGUAAAGACGAUAUUCGCGAGCAUCUUUCAAGCUGCCACUUGUCUUGGGAAAAUAUCGAAGAGUAUGAAUUAAUCUUAGGGACGGACCAUUAGAUAUUUGAGGGGGGGAGUUGGGAGGGGGGGCAAAUACCAAAAAAAUUCGCGAACAGAAAAAUUUCAGAAGAAAAUAUCGUGCACAACAAACCUAUUGAAAAAAAAA